AGUUACUGUUGAUUAUGAGAAAAUGAUUAAGUUUCUGUUGAUUAUUAAAGAAUGGCGGUAGGUUUUUGGAGCUUGUAAAAAUUUUAUUCAGGAGAGGGUAUUUGAUGACAAUCCUGAUUUUUAUGUCCUUUAGAAUUGCCAUCAGCACAAAUCUCGUUGAAGAAUUCGACUCGGCCAUAUUAUUCAUUGUACAUUUGCUGUUCAAUUUGUAAUUUUGCUCAUUCCUUUUGUCUAGAGAUGUUAGCCUUGUUUUUGUUUUUUUAGAUUUUGGUUAUUUGUCAAUCUUAUUGAUGGGUUGUAAGAUUUACUUUUCUUUUGUUUAUGAACUCAAUAUUGACAAGGAAAAUAAAUUAGUUAGUUUUCUUAGGCAAUUUGUAGUUUGCCUUUUGUUUAAAUUAUUUCGGUUGGUAAUGCCAACCUGGUUAGUUACCAGUGCCACUGGUAAUGAAGCUAUUUUUUAAGCU